rnacentral:rRNA from 1 species
CCUACGGGGGGCAGCAGUGAGGAAUAUUGGUCAAUGGGAGAGAUCCUGAACCAGCCAAGCCGCGUGAGGGAAGACGGCCCUAUGGGUUGUAAACCUCUUUUGUCGGAGAACAAAACCCGGGACGUGUCCCGGCCUGCGUGUAUCCGAAGAAAAAGCAUCGGCUAACUCCGUGCCAGCAGCCGCGGUAAUACGGAGGAUGCGAGCGUUAUCCGGAUUUAUUGGGUUUAAAGGGUGCGUAGGCGGUCCGUUAAGUCAGCGGUAAAAUUGCGGGGCUCAACCUCGUCGAGCCGUUGAAACUGGGGGCAUUGAGUGGGCGAGAAGUACGCGGAAUGCGUGGUGUAGCGGUGAAAUGCAUAGAUAUCACGCAGAACUCCGAUUGCGAAGGCAGCGUACCGGCGCCCAACUGACGCUGAAGCACGAAGGCGUGGGUAUCGAACAGGAUUAGAUACCCCUGUAGUC